rnacentral:rRNA from 1 species
CUGUACCUACGGGGGGCAGCAGUGGGGAAUAUUGGGCAAUGGGCGCAAGCCUGACCCAGCAACGCCGCGUGAAGGAAGAAGGCUUUCGGGUUGUAAACUUCUUUUGUCAGGGACGAAGCAAGUGACGGUACCUGACGAAUAAGCCACGGCUAACUACGUGCCAGCAGCCGCGGUAAUACGUAGGUGGCAAGCGUUAUCCGGAUUUAUUGGGUGUAAAGGGCGUGUCGGCGGGAAUUCAAGUCAGG